CCUACGGGUGGCUGCAGUAGGGAAUCUUCCACAAUGGGCGAAAGCCUGAAGGAGCCAAGCCGCGUGGGUGAAGAAGGUCUUCGGAUCGUAAAACUUUGUUGUUAGUGAAGAAAGUGCGUGAGCGUAACUGUUCACGUUUCGACGGUAUCUAUCCACAACGCCACGGCUAACUACGUGCCAGCAGCUGCGGUAAUACGUAGGUUGCAAGCGUUAUCCGGAUUUAUUGGGCGUAAAGGGAGCGCAGGUGGUCUUUUAAGUCUGAUGUGAAAGCCUUCGGCUUAACCAGAGUAGUGCAGUGGAAACUGGAAGACUUGAGUGCAGAUGAGGAAGGUGGAACUCGAGGUGUAGCGGUGAAAUGCGUAGAUAUAAGGAAGAACACCGAUGGCGAAAGCGGCUCUCUGGGCUGUAACUGACGCUGAGGUUCGAAAGCGUGGGUAGCAAACAGGAUUAGAUACCCUAGUAGUC
rnacentral:rRNA from 1 species